rnacentral:lncRNA from 1 species
AUCCGCAGGCUCAGGCAGGCACAGGGCGGCAGAGUGACAAAGCCACGGCUGCCUCCACCCGAAGUGGGAGUGGGAGUGAGAGUCCCUCUUACCAGCCCUCAACUAGGGAGAGCGUAAAAGUUUGUCUCAAGCGUUCCGAGCGCCCCAAGGUAAAGGUGGAAGUAAAUGGCCAAGUUGUAUGGAAAGAGGUGGCCAUGGAAUGGUGUAGCAGAUUGCUGCAGAUGGUUUCAAUAGUUCUGCUGAAUGCUCCUUGUUUGUGCCUGCAAGAGGAACUCAAGGCUUUAUGUAUGGCCAUUGCUGUGACCUAGUGUGAUGCUCUACUUUUCCACUGAACUCUGCUUGCUCUAACUGAGGACCUUAGCUAUAAUUUAGCCUUUUCUUUUUAUAUUAAGCUGUUGUUGAGGAAGGAGCUUUGGCAAUAGAAGAAACCAAGCAGCAGGUUAAUUUCCACUGUUGACACAACUGGAAACGGAUCCCUACUUUAUGCAUUGGAGAUGCUAUGAAGACUACUCUGUCUGAUGUUUCCCUAUUGGGAUAGUGAAGUAUGAUGCUUCAUUGGUUGAGUGUAUGCAAUCAAAGUAAGAGUGAAAAAGGAAGAUCUGAGGAGUGGGCAGAUGCCUGCCGGGUAAACUAUUUGUGGCAUAAACUUGAGGACCCCACAGGAAAGCCAGAUGUUGUCAUGUGCUUCAAACCACAAUUCUGCUAUUGAAUGGGGGAUUACUGGUCAGUGACUAGCCAAAAUGGUGAGCUUCAUGUGCUGAGAGAACUACCUAUCUCAAAAAAAUAAGGUGAAAGGGCUAGAGAGGUGGCAAAGUAGCACUGACUGAUCUCUCAGAGGAGAACGUGGAUUCAACUCCUAGCACCCACAUAGCAGCCAACAACCAUCUGUAACUCCAGUCUCAGGGGAUUUAGUGCCUUCUUAUAUCCUCAGUGAACACUGCACAUAUAUUGUGCAUAGACAUACAUUCAGUCAAACAAACACUCAGACACAUAAAAAUAAAUGAAAUCUCAAAAUAUUUUAAAAAGAUAAUGUGGAGGGUGAUUGAGGCCUUAUAUUAAUCUUUAGACUUUACAAAAUGAGUUUUACACACACACACACACACAGAAAACACACAAACACACUAUAUGUACACACACAUAUAUACACUGACACACACACUUGAAAAAUUGUUAUUGCUUAAAAUUUUUUUGAUAACUUGUCUCAGAAUUUUUAUUAUUGAUUUUAUUAUAAUAUUAAUUUUUAGUCUACAGUAAAUCUUUAUGCUGGAACUAGACUUCAGGAUUAUUAUAAGAUAUAUUUAAUGUAUAAAUUUGAGUUCAUAAUUGUGAGAAUAAUUCUUUUAUGGUUGUGGUAAUAAAGUAUCAUUAUCUUCUUAGAUCUAAUGUAAGAUUCAAACUCUGACCCACUAACUUCCAAGUCCCUUCUUAAAAGUGCUGUAUUAAACUGCAUGAAGCUUUUU